AUUUUCAGGUGUUGGAAGCCCCGGAGCCUCACAGGGGACCACGCCCACUGCCAGGAGCUGCAGCGAUUCCCCUUUUGUGGUCAGGGAGGCCGUGGAGCCCUGGGUGACCCUGUGACUUCCCAGGCUGCAGGUGGGAUUGAGCCAGGCACUGCGCACGCAGCACUGUGAGCCGCUGGCCCAGGCCAGGCUCCAGAGAUGGGAGCUCCGCGGGUUCACAGUCGUCUGUGACAGCAGAGCUGAGGGGAGGACGCAGACCCUGGCCUGACCUUGGGCUACCUCUCAGGGUUAGGCCACUGCCUCUGCUGCAGACCCAGGCGGCGCCCAAAGCCUGGGCGUCCCUCCGCUGCAGUGAAAGGGAAAAGAAAACCGGGCUGCGGUAAUGCCUGGAGCCAAAAUCUCAGGGAGAAGCCCAGCUCCCGACACCUACCCUCUUAAAGUGCAGUUGGAUUGAAUGAGGCUAAAGGAAGUAACAGGAACCCCGGCCUGGAGGAAGGAGCACGUGCUAUGGGCCUCAGAGGGUGGCAGAGGAGGUCUGCAGGGGCGAGAAUCUCGGACAGAGCCGAGGCACAGAGCGCAGGGGUGCAUCCUUCCGAACCUCGCAUUCAGUGACGUCACCUUGGUGAUUUGAAGUAGGCCCUGGUGGAAGUAUUUACACCAUGGACAUCAGCAAAUGCAACCAAGACCUCCCGCUACCCUGGAGAGCUGGGUUUAAGACAUUUGCCAGCACACCACUGCCCAGGGACCAGUCUCAGCUCCAGAGCUGUGGGUUAUUGGUAAAGGAUGUGAUUUCAUUGAGCCUCAGUUUCUGUAUCUGUAAAGCAGGAAUCUAUCACUUAUGAAAUAUCCUGUGCAGGCACAAUCUUAGGUGUGGAGGAUACAAUACAACUCUUUGUAAUAGUUAAUUUUAUGCAUCAACUUGACUGGAUCACAGUGUGCCCAGAUAUUUGAUCAAACAUUAUUCUGAGUGUUUCCGUGACAAUGUUUUUGGAUACAAUCAACAUUUAUUUAAUUGGUUGAAGACCUGAAUAGAACAAAGAGUUCAAUUCUCUCAAGUAAGAGAAUUCCUCCUGUCUGACUACUUCAGAAUUGGGACAUUGGCUUUUUCCUGCCUCUACACUACAACUACACCAUCAAGCCUUCAGACAUGGAAAGGAACCACACUAUUGGCUCUCCUCGGUCUUCAGCUUGCCAACUCAAUGCAGAUCUUUGCAUUUGUCAGCCUUAUAACCAUGUGAGCUAAUUCCCUAAAAUAAAUGUCCUCAUUUAAAUGUAUUUCCUAUUGCUGUUUCUCUAGAGAACUCUAAUACAACCCCAUACAAAAGUACACCACACUAGAAGAAUUGGGUUAAAUCGAAUUACAAAAAAAAGAAGAAGAUUA
rnacentral:lncRNA from 1 species